UACGUAGGGUGCGAGCGUUAAUCGGAUUUACUGGGCGUAAAGCGUGCGCAGGCGGCCCGUUAAGACAGAUGUGAAAUCCCUGGGCUCAACCUAGGAAUUGCGCUUGUGACUGGCGGGCUCGAGUACGGUAGAGGGAGGUGGAAUUCCUGGUGUAGCAGUGAAAUGCGUAGAGAUCAGGAGGAACACCGAUGGCGAAGGCAGCCCCCUGGGCCUGUACUGACGCUCAUGCACGAAAGCGUGGGGAGCAAACAGG
rnacentral:rRNA from 1 species